AACUGAUACUACCUGCGGGAACCUGCGGAGGGAUCAUUAUUGAAUAAAAUUUAGUUAGGUUGUUGCUGGCUUUUAGGAGCAUGUGCACGCCUGGCGCCAUUUUAUUAUCUCCUGUGCACUAUUUGUAGAUCUUGAACUAUUUCUCGGGGUGAUUAACUUCGGAUUGAGGAAAAUGGUAUUUUCCUUGAGUUCUAGGUCUAUGUUUAUUAUCAUACUCAUUGAAUGUCAUUGAAUGUUAAU
rnacentral:misc_RNA from 1 species